CAGCCGCCGCGGGAAAACAGAGGGUGCGAGCGUUAAUCGGAUUUACUGGGCGUAAAGCGUGCGUAGGCGGCUUCUUAAGUCGGAUGUGAAAUCCCUGAGCUUAACUUAGGAAUUGCAUUCGAUACUGGGAAGCUAGAGUAUGGGAGAGGAUGGUAGAAUUCCAGGUGUAGCGGUGAAAUGCGUAGAGAUCUGGAGGAAUACCGAUGGCGAAGGCAGCCAUCUGGCCUAAUACUGACGCUGAGGUACGAAAGCAUGGGGAGCAAACAGGAUUAGAUACCCGCGUAGUCCCUGUCUCUUAUAA
rnacentral:rRNA from 1 species